CGACCGGCGCACGGUGAGUAACGCGUAUGCAACUUACCUAUCAGAGGGGGAUAGCCCGGCGAAAGUCGGAUUAAUACCCCAUAAACAGGGGUCCCGCAUGGGAAUAUUUGUUAAAGAUUCAUCGCUGAUAGAUAGGCAUGCGUUCCAUUAGGCAGUUGGCGGGGUAACGGCCCACCAAACCGACGAUGGAUAGGGGUUCUGAGAGGAAGGUCCCCCACAUUGGUACUGAGACACGGACCAA
rnacentral:rRNA from 1 species